GUGUCUAUACCAGUGCAGGGAUGAAAUUUGCCCCUAGGUUUCCUGAUUCCGAGCCCCAGCCAUAGCCUGUUUGCAUCACACUGAGGAUAAGAUACAGGCUGAAGCCAUGAAGAUUGGAUCUAGAUCACAACCGUUCCCACCCCCCAAAAUUCUUGGAUUUGGGGGAGUGAUUGUAAGUCAGUGAAAUGCAAAAACUAAACAAAUAAGUAGUUCAGGAGAGCCCAACUUCAGAUCUUCAUAAACUGAUUCCAGGAUACAUAACAAGCAUUGGAUGGACAGGAAGAAAAUUCUGAGUGUCGAGAGCUGCAGAGCAGGGUAAUGAAGAAAGUUCUUCACUGACCAAAGCAAAUCCAUUACUGACUUGACCAGGAAGUCUUAUGAUUAAGUAAGGAUAUAUGUCAUUGGUGUUGAAUUUUUUUAUACACAAAAUGCAUAUAGAAAACAUAUCUCAAGGGAAGGCUGAAAGUCACUUGAUUUUAUUUGCCUUUUGACAAUUUCGUCAUGAACUACACCUUAGAACAGGGGUGGGAAAAGUUUUUGGCCUGAAGGCCACAUCUGGGUAUGAAAAUUGUAUGUCGGGCCAUGAAUACUCAUGAAAUUGGAGCUUAGGAUGUGGGAGGGGCUGAGGACUCCAGCUGGGGGUGUGGGC